GAAUUGAAGAAAAUCAACAGACAUAAAUUAUUAAGGGUGCACAUCCCUAAUUAAAAAAGCUAAUACAAGAGAUAGAAAGGCCAAAGGAAACCACAUACAAGUAUAGCCCAAACGAAAAUACAACAUAAAGCCCAACAAAAAUCUUCUAUAUAUAAAGCCAAUGGAAAAGGUGAAUUGUGAUUUUGGUGUCACCAAACUUCAACAAAAAUAAUUGGACAAAAAUGCCCACAAGACAAUGCAUCAAAUAAAGCAUGAGCAUUUUCAUCAUUUUAACAAUGUUGUUUUAAUAAUUAAUUUUUUUUGUGCUUUUUUUUAAUUAGUACCUCACAAUAGGCUGGCAAUAAUAUGAUUCAAUUAGCUAUUCAUUCAAUAUUAUUUUCUCUAUUUUUAAACACGUUCAAAACAUCUUAAGAGGUGUGUAAUGCCGGUUUUAAAAAAGGUCUUUCGCACACGGAUAAAAAUGUGAUUAAAUUAGUUGUCAAAUGAUUUUUUUUUAACAAACGAUAUUAUCUACACUAAGAAGGAAGAUGGUGGGCUUAGCCUCACAAUGGGCUAGCAAUAAUGUGAUUCAAUCAGUUGUUUAUUAAAUAUUAUCUUCUCUAUUCUUAAUGUAAAUUUUAUAGAGACUGAUUUUAUUAUGUGGAUUCAGCUGCUUUAAUUGGUUUAUGAGGGGCUUCUUCUAGCAUGAUCUAAGAUUAUUCAUUUACUUCAAAUAUUUGACUUUCCUUUUGUCAAUUUACGCAUAUAAAUACAUUUAAAACGUAUAAAUCACGCGUAGCAUGCCGUGAUUCAAAAAAUGUCUUCUGUAUGAGCGU
rnacentral:lncRNA from 1 species